rnacentral:rRNA from 1 species
AGUGAACGCUGGCGGUAGGCCUAACACAUGCAAGUCGAACGGCAGCACAGUAAGAGCUUGCUCUUACGGGUGGCGAGUGGCGGACGGGUGAGGAAUACAUCGGAAUCUACUUUUUCGUGGGGGAUAACGUAGGGAAACUUACGCUAAUACCGCAUACGACCUACGGGUGAAAGCAGGGGAUCUUCGGACCUUGCGCGAUUGAAUGAGCCGAUGUCGGAUUAGCUAGUUGGCGGGGUAAAGGCCCACCAAGGCGACGAUCCGUAGCUGGCCUGAGAGGAUGAUCAGCCACACUGGAACUGAGACACGGUCCAGACUCCUACGGGAGGCAGCAGUGGGGAAUAUUGGACAAAGGGCGCAAGCCUGAUCCAGCCAUACCGCGUGGGUGAAGAAGGCCUUCGGGUUGUAAAGCCCUGUUGUUGGGAAAGAAAAGCAGCAGGUUAAUACCCCGCUGUUCUGACGGUACCCAAAGAAUAAGCACCGGCUAACUUCGUG